ensembl:lncRNA
UUUUCAUUCCCCAUCAUACAGUGCCUGUUUGCUACACUUGUUCCCAGGACAUCUUUGAACCAGAGGGCUGUUGCUGGACAUGGUGUUUCAGAUGAGAUCUCACCAACUUCAUUUGCUGAUCAUUUUAUCAUGUGAAUUAUGGCAGAAGAUGACAUGCUGAAAGGAUAUACAUCAACAAAUGUAUUCAGUAUGUUGAGAAAAAUCCAAUUAUAAACCUCCUUCCCUACCUUAAUGUAAUGUUUCUACAUGUGAGCUGCCUGUAGACGGUGGAGUUCUGAGGAUGGAUCCUGAAGCACACAUUAGAGCAUAGAAAAGAAAGCUGAGGCUUGAAAACAGCCAUAGGACUGCAGCAACCAGAAUGAAGUCCAGGGAAGAGGUACAAAGAUCACUUGAAACACAACAAUACAUAUUUACAUGAAUAAAAAUCUCAACCUGUGGUAUUUUCAUAACAUCUUCCAUUUGAAAGCAUAGAAGAUGAGAAGGAAAAAGCAGACAUGAUUUCCGACCAGUGCAGAGCAAAGAGCCCCACAGGUGUGUGCGGAGAUGGAUAAAGUGUGCGACUGUCACCGUUGUACAAUCGCUCACAAUUUAAGAGUCAGCCAGCAGCAGAAACAGGAAGAGAAAAGGUCACGGGAGGACAGUGUUCAUGACCAGCAUCAGGUUUCAGAGUGGGGUCCAUAGGGGAGAAAAUGCAAAACAUUUGGACGUAAUUAAGGCACUAAUCUGGAAAAAUGAGGAACAGUUGAAACCUGCAGAGCUGGGACAUUGUACAAACUUCUCUCCUUGGUAGCAGAGCAGCCUUGCAGCAGCUUCUGCUACUGAGAAUAGGGAAGAAAGGCUGGAAGA